rnacentral:miRNA from 1 species
GAACUGAGUCCUUUGGAAAAGA